UGGGGAAUAUUGGACAAUGGGCGAAAGCCUGAUCCAGCCAUGCCGCGUGUGUGAUGAAGGCCUUAGGGUUGUAAAGCACUUUCACCGAUGAAGAUAAUGACGGUAGUCGGAGAAGAAGCCCCGGCUAACUUCGUGCCAGCAGCCGCGGUAAUACGAAGGGGGCUAGCGUUGUUCGGAAUCACUGGGCGUAAAGCGCACGUAGGCGGAUUGUUAAGUGAGGGGUGAAAUCCCGGGGCUCAACCCCGGAACUGCCUUUCAUACUGGCAAUCUCGAGUUCGAGAGAGGUAAGUGGAAUUCCGAGUGUAGAGGUGAAAUUCGUAGAUAUUCGGAGGAACACCAGUGGCGAAGGCGGCUUACUGGAUCGAUACUGACGCUGAGGUGCGAAAGCGUGGGGAGCAAACAGG
rnacentral:rRNA from 1 species